rnacentral:rRNA from 1 species
CACAUGACUCUCGGCAACGGAUAUCUCGGCUCUCGCAUCGAUGAAGAACGUAGCGAAAUGCGAUACCUGGUGUGAAUUGCAGAAUCCCGCGAACCAUCGAGUCUUUGAACGCAAGUUGCGCCCGAGACCAUUCGGUCGAGGGCACGCCUGCCUGGGCGUCACG